UACGAAGGGUGCAAGCGUUACUCGGAAUUACUGGGCGUAAAGCGUGCGUAGGUGGUUUGUUAAGUCUGCUGUGAAAGCCCCGGGCUCAACCUGGGAAUGGCAGUGGAUACUGGCAAGCUAGAGUGCGGUAGAGGGGUGUGGAAUUCCCGGUGUAGCGGUGAAAUGCGUAGAGAUCGGGAGGAACACCAGUGGCGAAGGCGGCACCCUGGACCAGCACUGACACUGAGGCACGAAAGCCAGGGGAGCGAACGGG
rnacentral:rRNA from 1 species